AUUGGACGCUAGCGGCAUGCUUAACACAUGCAAGUCGAGCGGCAGCGCGGGGAAACCUGGCGGCGAGCGGCGGACGGGUGAGUAAUACGUAGGAAUCUGCCUUGUAAUGGGGGACAACCCGGGGAGACUCGGGCUAAUACCGCAUAAUCUCUAAGGAGGAAAGUAGGGGACCUUCGGGCCUUACGUUAUAAGAUGAGCCUGCGUCGGAUUAGCUAGUUGGUGGGGUAAAGGCCUACCAAGGCGACGAUCCGUAGCUGGUCUGAGAGGACGAUCAGCCACACUGGGACUGAGACACGGGCCAGACUCCUACGGGAGGCAGCAGGGGGGAAUAUUGGACAAUGGGGAAACCCUGAUCCAGCAAUGCCGCGUGUGUGAAGAAGGCCUUCGGGUUGUAAAGCACUUUCAGUGGGGAAGAACUAAUUCAAGGUUAAUAACCUUGAGUCUUGACAUUACCUACAGAAGAAGCACCGGCAAACUCUGUGCCAGCCGCCGCGGUAA
rnacentral:rRNA from 1 species